ACGAACGCUGGCGGCGUGCUUAACACUUGCAAGUCGAACGGAAAGGCCCUGCUUUUGUGGGGUGCUCGAGUGGCGAACGGGUGAGUAACACGUGAGUAACCUGCCCUUGACUUUGGGAUAACUUCAGGAAACUGGGGCUAAUACCGGAUAGGAGCUCCUGCUGCAUGGUGGGGGUUGGAAAGUUUCGGCGGUUGGGGAUGGACUCGCGGCUUAUCAGCUUGUUGGUGGGGUAGUGGCUUACCAAGGCUUUGACGGGUAGCCGGCCUGAGAGGGUGACCGGCCACAUUGGGACUGAGAUACGGCCCAGACUCCUACGGGAGGCAGCAGUGGGGAAUAUUGCACAAUGGGCGGAAGCCUGAUGCAGCAACGCCGCGUGCGGGAUGACGGCCUUCGGGUUGUAAACCGCUUUCGCCUGUGACGAAGCGUGAGUGACGGUAAUGGGUAAAGAAGCACCGGCUAACUACGUG
rnacentral:rRNA from 1 species